UACAGAGGUCUCAAGCGUUGUUCGGAUUUCAUUGGGCGUAAAGGGUGCGUAGGCGGCGCGGUAAGUCGGGUGUGAAAUCUCGGAGCUUAACUCCGAAACUGCAUUCGAUACUGCCGUGCUUGAGGACUGGAGAGGAGACUGGAAUUUACGGUGUAGCGGUGAAAUGCGUAGAUAUCGUAAGGAAGACCAGUGGCGAAGGCGGGUCUCUGGACAGUUCCUGACGCUGAGGCACGAAGGCCAGGGGGAGCAAAACGGGG
rnacentral:rRNA from 1 species